rnacentral:rRNA from 1 species
CACGUAGGGUGCAAGCGUUGUCCGGAAUUAUUGGGCGUAAAGGGCUCGUAGGCGGUCCGUCACGUCGGGAGUGAAAACUCGGGGCUCAACCCCGAGCCUGCUUUCGAUACGGGCGGACUAGUGGUAGGUAGGGGAGAACGGAAUUCCUGGUGUAGCGGUGGAAUGCGCAGAUAUCAGGAGGAACACCGGUGGCGAAGGCGGUUCUCUGGGCCUUACCUGACGCUGAGGAGCGAAAGCGUGGGGAGCGAACAGG